GACGAACGCUGGCGGCGUGCUUAACACAUGCAAGUCGAACGGAAAGGCCCUGCUUUUGUGAGGUGCUCGAGUGGCGAACGGGUGAGUAACACGUGAGUAACCUGCCCUUGACUUUGGGAUAACUUCAGGAAACUGGGGCUAAUACCGGAUAGGAGCUCCUGCUGCAUGGUGGGGGUUGGAAAGUUUCGGCGGUUGGGGAUGGACUCGCGGCUUAUCAACUUGUUGGUGGGGUAGUGGCUUACCAAGGCUUUGACGGGUAGCCGGCCUGAGAGGGUGACCGGCCACAUUGGGACUGAGAUACGGCCCAGACUCCUACGGGAGGCAGCAGUGGGGAAUAUUGCACAAUGGGCGGAAGCCUGAUGCAGCAACGCCGCGUGCGGGAUGACGGCCUUCGGGUUGUAAACCGCUUUCGCCUGUGACGAAGCGUGAGUGACGGUAAUGGGUAAAGAAGCACCGGCUAACUACGUG
rnacentral:rRNA from 1 species